GGAACUGAUCUGACUCAGAUUGAACGCUGGCGGAUGCCCACAAGUCAGGCAGCAGCUGGACUGGUCUGGCGAGUGGCGAGCGGGUGAGUAUUGUAUAUCGGUUCACCUGGCUGCUGAGGGGAUAACUACGCAAUGGCAAACUAUCUGCUGCGCUUACGCCCUUCGAGGGAAAGCAGAGACCUUCACGGGGCCUCGCACUAUUCAGGCGGCCAAUCUUCUCGGAUCCGGCUGGUGAGGCCAGACGCCAGCUCACCCGAAGGCGACGAUCGCGCAAACUGGUUUGAGGUUGACCAACCACACUGGGACUGAGGCGGCCGGAACUCUGCGGGGGCAGCGGUGAAGGAUUUUGGACGUGGAAGCCCCUGGUCGGCCAUCCCGCGUGCGAUGAAGGCCUUCGGUUCGCUUCGCGCGGCAGGAAAGAAGCGGCACAGGAUGUGCCCGAUGCAGCGGCGGUACCUGCAGGGUCAGCGCAAAGCUGCUACGUCUCGCCGCCGCGGUAAUACGUAGGAAUUUGGUCAAUCGGGAGUACUGGGCAUCAAAGCGUGCGCGGGCGGUUCGGAAGAAGAUGCUGAAAUCCCGAGCUGCUUUGGAACUGCAUUUUUUAACUGCGAGCUAGAGUGUGUCAGAGGGAGGUGGAAUUCCGCGUGCGGUGAAAUGCGUAGAUAUGCCGGAACUGAUGGCGGGCGAAAGCCUCUGGGAUAACAUUGACGCUCAUGCACGAAGCGUGGGGAGCAAACGGGAUUAGAUACCCUGGUAGUCCACCCUAAUCAACUUCAGCUGUUUGAGACCUUCAGACGCGGUGACAACAACAUGUGAGAGGUCGAUAACACAGAGGCUCGGUCAUAAGAUUAAACUCAAAGGAAUUGACGGGGACCCUGCUGACGGUGGAUGAUGUGGAUUAAUUCGGUAACGCGAAAAACCACACCUUGACAUGUCUGGAAUCAAGAAAGUUUGGAGUGCUCGCAGAAACCGGAACACAGGUGCUGCAUGGCUGUCGAUCAGCUCGUGUGUCGUGAGAUGUUGGGUUAAGUCCGCAACAGGCGCAACCCUUGUCACGGUAGAUUUGCUACGAAGAGGCACUCUAAUGAGACUGCCGGUGACAAACCGGAGGAAGGUGGGGACCGACGUCAGGUCUCAUGGCCCUUAUGGGUAGGGCUUCACGUCAUACAAUGGUCGGAACGGGGUCGCCAACAUGAGGAGACAAUCCCAGAAACCCGAUCGUAGUCCGGAUCCGGUCGCUCGACUGCGUGAAGUCGGAAUCGCUAGUAAUCGCGGAUCAGCAUGUCGCGGUGAAUACACGUUCGGGUCUUGUACACACCGCCCGUCCACCAUGGGAGUGGGUUUUACGAAGUAGUUAGCCUAACCCGUAGAGAGGCGUUCACAGUAGGAUUCAUGACUGGGGUGAAGUCGUAACUAAGGUAACCCUGUUACUACACCAGUGUCCAGAAUAAAU
rnacentral:rRNA from 1 species